rnacentral:rRNA from 1 species
UACGUAGGGGGCAAGCGUUAUCCGGAUUUACUGGGUGUAAAGGGGGCGCAGACGGCGAUGCAAGCCAGGAGUGAAAGCCCGGGGCCCAACCCCGGGACUGCUCUUGGAGCUGCGUGGCUGGAGUGCAGGAGGGGCAGGCGGAAUUCCUGGUGUAGCGGUGAAAUGCGUAGAUAUCAGGAGGAACACCGGUGGCGAAGGCGGCCUGCUGGACUGCAACUGACGUUGAGGCCCGAAAGCGUGGGGAGCGAACAGG